AACCACCUGGCCAUCGGCGUGGCGCUGGCGCUGCUGGUCGUCAAGGCGAUCAUCUGGGUGAUCGCGCUGGGCUCGGGCACCUCGGGUGGCGU
rnacentral:tRNA from 1 species